ACAUGCAGUCGACGAGAUCUUCGGAUCUAGUGGCGCACGGGUGCGUAACGCGUGGGAAUCUGCCCUUGGGUUCGGAAUAACUUCUGGAAACGGAAGCUAAUACCGGAUGAUGACGUAAGUCCAAAGAUUUAUCGCCCAAGGAUGAGCCCGCGUAGGAUUAGCUAGUUGGUGAGGUAAAGGCUCACCAAGGCGACGAUCCUUAGCUGGUCUGAGAGGAUGAUCAGCCACACUGGGACUGAGACACGGCCCAGACUCCUACGGGAGGCAGCAGUAGGGAAUAUUGGACAAUGGGCGAAAGCCUGAUCCAGCAAUGCCGCGUGAGUGAUGAAGGCCUUAGGGUUGUAAAGCUCUUUUACCCGGGAUGAUAAUGACAGUACCGGGAGAAUAAGCUCCGGCUAACUCCGUGCCAGCAGCCGCGGUAAUACGGAGGGAGCUAGCGUUGUUCGGAAUUACUGGGCGUAAAGCGCACGUAGGCGGCUAUUCAAGUCAGAGGUGAAAGCCCGGGGCUCAACCCCGGAACUGCCUUUGAAACUAGAUAGCUUGAAUCCAGGAGAGGUGAG
rnacentral:rRNA from 1 species